GAUGAACGCUGGCGGCGUGCCUAAUACAUGCAAGUCGAGCGAACGGACGAGAAGCUUGCUUCUCUGAUGUUAGCGGCGGACGGGUGAGUAACACGUGGAUAACCUACCUAUAAGACUGGGAUAACUUCGGGAAACCGUAGCUAAUACCGGAUAAUAUUUUGAACCGCAUGGUUCAAAAGUGAAAGACGGUCUUGCUGUCACUUAUAGAUGGAUCCGCGCUGCAUUAGCUAGUUGGUAAGGUAACGGCUUACCAAGGCAACGAUGCAUAGCCGACCUGAGAGGGAGAUCGGCCACACUGGAACUGAGACACGGUCCAGACUCCUACGGGAGGCAGCAGUAGGGAAUCUUCCGCAAUGGGCGAAAGCCUGACGGAGCAAAGCCGCGUGAGUGAUGAAGGUCUUCGGAUCGUAAAACGCUGUUAUUAGGGAAGAACAUAUGUGUAAGUAACUGUGCACAUCUUGACGGUACCUAAUCAGAAAGCCACGGCUAACUACGUG
rnacentral:rRNA from 1 species